CCUACGGGGGGCUGCAGUGGGGAAUAUUGCACAAUGGGGGAAACCCUGAUGCAGCGACGCCGCGUGAGUGAAGCAGUAUUUCGGUAUGUAAAGCUCUAUCAGCAGGGAAGUUAAUGACGGUACCUGAGUAAGAAGCCCCGGCUAACUACGUGCCAGCAGCCGCGGUCCUACGUAGGGGGCAAGCGUUAUCCGGAUUUACGGGGUGUAAAGGGGGCGUAGACGGCAGAACAAGUCUGAAGUGAAAUGCCGGGGCUGAACCCCGGAACUGCUUUGGAAACUGUGCAGCUAGAGUGCAGGAGAGGUAAGUGGAAUUCGUGGGGUAGCGGUGAAAUGCGUAGAUAUUAGGAGGAACACCAGUGGCGAAGGCGGCUUACUGGACUGUAACUGACGUUGAGGCUCGAAAGCGUGGGGAGCAAACAGGAUUAGAUACCCGGGUAGUC
rnacentral:rRNA from 1 species